rnacentral:rRNA from 1 species
CCUACGGGAGGCAGCAGUAGGGAAUCUUCCACAAUGGGCGAAAGCCUGAUGGAGCAACGCCGCGUGGGUGAAGAAGGUCUUCGGAUCGUAAAACUCUGUUGUUAGAGAAGAAAGUGCGUGAGAGUAACUGUUCACGUUUCGACGGUAUCUAACCAGAAAGCCACGGCUAACUACGUGCCAGCAGCCGCGGUAAUACGUAGGUGGCAAGCGUUAUCCGGAUUUAUUGGGCGUAAAGGGAACGCAGGCGGUCUUUUAAGUCUGAUGUGAAAGCCUUCGGCUUAACCGGAGUAGUGCAUUGGAAACUGGGAGACUUGAGUGCAGAAGAGGAGAGUGGAACUCCAUGUGUAGCGGUGAAAUGCGUAGAUAUAUGGAAGAACACCAGAGGCGAAAGCGGCUCUCUGGUCUGUAACUGACGCUGAGGUUCGAAAGCGUGGGUAGCAAACAGGAUUAGAUACCCCUGUAGUC